rnacentral:lncRNA from 1 species
GGCUGGGGAGGGAGCRGCAGCUGCUGCUGCUCUGCUGCAGAGGUGUCAGUGGCUGCCCAACCCUCUGCAAUCCCAGGCUGGCUCCUGGCACCUGGGGCAGCUCUUCCUUCUCAGCCUGCAGCACCACCUGCUAAGGCACUGCCAAAGGCCUCUCAGCAGCCCAGCCCAGCCCAGCCCAGCCCUGUGCAGCCCAGCACAGCACAGCACAGCACAGCACUGCCCGCGGAGGCAAGGAGAGGCUGCAAGAGAGCUCCGCGGCCCCGGGCUGCACUGGGCGUGCAGGGUGUCUGUGCUGGCAGCGGCGGGGCAGCGUGGGGGCGGCGGUGGGUGGGAGAAAGCGCCUGUGCGCAGCCCUGCGCUGAGCUGUGCCCGGGUGGAGAGAGCCCGUGCGCCGGGCUGCUUUGCGCGAGGAGCCCUGCGGCCCUGCUCUGCCCGUCUGCCACGCCUGCCCUGCCUGCCUSCCUCCCUCCCUCUCGCCGCCUCGGUGCGCGCUGCGUGCCCUGGGCUCCUUGCUGGGCCGUGGCCAGCACAGCGGUGCCCUCCUUGCCUCAGCCACGGCCAGGGCUGCCGGUGGCUCCUCGACUCCGGCCCGGGCCUUUGCCCACCUGCUGCAGCUCCCAGGGCUCCGGGCAAGAGCAGCGGUGCACGUUGCUCCGUGCCUGUGCUCGCCGCCUGCCUGGCUGGGUGGCUUUGGGGAAGAAGGAUGGCUCUCGACGCCCGCCGACUGGUGCCCAGAGGUUUAUUUGCAGCGGCCGGGAGGGGAGCAGGGCGUCGAGCUCAGCGGGGCGCUCGCUAACGGCGCCUGCGGCCCGGCGCCGAGCUCCCUGCUUGCGCGCGGCAGCGGCUCCUCGCCUGGCGCCUCGCGGGCGCUCGCGGCCUCCUCCCGAGGAGGGCGGCGCAUCUGCGCACGGCCUUGCGCAGCGCUCGGAAGGCGCCGCAAGUGCAGCCCGGGCACAGCAGGGAGCCCAGCGGCGCUCUGCAGCCGGCAGCGGCGGCAGCGCGGGCAGCGGGAGGGGAGGGCGGCUGCGCUGGCGGGGGCCAGAGCUGCGCGGUGGGCCAGCGCGUCAGGGCCGGGGGAGCCGAGGGCCGCGCUCGGCUUGGGCCGCGGGGCUGUGCGGGAGGCGCGAGACGCCGAGCUGCGCCUUGGCCUGCGAGCGGGACGGGCGCCCAGGCCCCCAGCAGGAUGGACCUGCGCUCCACGUGCGCUGGCCAGUCCACGUGUGGGGUUUUGGGCACGCAGUCGAGCAGCUCGUGGCCCUCCUCGCUGAGGAACAYGGUCUGGUUGGGCCCGAAGCGCACACGCCGGCCUGUUGGGAUUGCCGGUGGGGCUGUGGGGUUGACCAGCUGUGCCAGGUCUCCUGCAGCCGUGGGGGCAGUGGGCAGCAGCACCACGUGUGGCUCCAGUGGGACAGGGAUGAGCAGGUCUCCGGUGUGCGUGUCCUGCAGGCAGGGCUCGUGAGGCUGUGGGGCUGUGGGGUUGACCAGCUGUGCCAAGUCUCCUGCAGCUGUGGGGGCAGUGGGCAGCAGCAGCAGCGUGUGCUGGGCGACAGGGAAGAGCAGGUCAGCGGUGUCCGUGUGCUGCAGGCAGGGCUCRUGAGGCUGUGCAGUGGGCRAGGCGUCCUUGCUUGCGCGGCUGGGAGGGAGAAAGGAGGUGAGGAGGGAGCGCAGGGCUGCGUGUUGUCMCCCAGCAGGAAGCCCUGGUGCCCGCCGUGGGUCUCYGCGUGGCCRUGGGGCAGCCCCCCUGCAGGCAAGGGCUCCGCUUACCCUGCCUGCCAGCUCCCUGCCGGCUCCUGCACGUCUGCCGUGGGGAGGAAGGAGGCUGCUGGAAGAGGAGGCAGAGAGGCAGUGAGCGAGGGCAGCCCCUGCRCGCAGCCCCAGCCGGGGCAGAGGGUGGUGGGCGCAGGCAGCAGGGGKUUUGUGGGCAGGAGGCGCUGCGGAGCGCGGCUGCGCUCUGGCACGGGGCUGCUCACCUCUGGGCUCCUGCACGCUGCCAUUGCCCAGGCUGCCAGCGUCGCCCCGGGGCCCCUACAGAGGCCAAGCAAGCGGUGGUCAGYGGUGAGCAUGCAAGCUGCRCCCAGGUGCYCCCUGCUCGCGGAAGGGCUGCGCUGGGGAGGCAGAGCUGAGGGUGGAGGCAGCUCUGGGGCAGGCCAGUGCGGGUGCCCUUGCUGCAGGCGCUGCCGGAGGGCAGAGCGGGCAAAAGCAGGGCUCUCUGCCUGCCUCCUACCUUGGGCCAGCGGCUCCUCACGCCCGGCACGAAGAGCACCGCCGCGCACAGCGCCGCGACGACGUUCCAGGCCGAGGGCACGUCGMGCAGGCACAGCAGCAGCAGCAGGCUCAGGGCCACGAGCUCGCACGCGGCUCKCRCGCGAGGCUCCAUGCCGCCRRAGCGAGGGCGCCUCGAGCRUGCAGCCGGCACAGCGCUCCGCGCCCACGUCCUGUUUGCAGAGGGCGAGCCGAAACACGGCACGCGGCUCUUAG